GAAACCGUCUCUGCCGCCUCUACCGCCGCGGCCGCUUCUCUGUUACCCGGGAAAUCCCGCCCACUCUCCCAGCCCGCCCCGCCGAGGGAAGGCUUAACCUCGCCCAGCCACGGGAUACACUAGCCAUCCGUCAAAGGUUGAGCCAAUCACUGCGCCGUACAGACCUACUCCCACCUCCUUUCCUCGCUGGGAGGGGAGGGUGAGCCGCUCACCUACUCCACGCCCCUAUUGGCGGGGAGCGUCCCUAACUCAACCCCGCCUAUUGGAGACUGAUUGCCGAAUCCCUCCCCCAGGCUGCAAUUUUAUUGGAGGAAGAAAAGCACCUCCUCACAUUUCAUUGGAGAGUCCCACAUAUCCCACCCCACUACCGCCCCAGCCACAGGCCUAACAAAUCGGCUCCCGCCUCCGCUGGUCACCGCAUUGGAAGGCUACCUUCGGUUCUCUCACAGCCCCAGGAAGGAGCCGCCAUUGGACACGGUGCCGGUCCAGGAAGGAGCCCAUUCCGCCCUGCGCGUUGCUGAACCUUAGCAGUCCUUUUGUGGAAUGUUUACACUAGAGACUGAAGCUCAGAGUUCCAAGGCCCGAACUGGAAAUGGCGCGGAGCUCAGGGUUGAAACCCGAGGCUUUAGGACUUUGAGGAAGACAGUAGUAUUACCACCGUAGAGGACUUACCAAAACAAUGACAGAAAACCUUAUCCUUCUACCCACUUAUUUUUACACUUUUCACUGUCUCCUAAAUACAGCCAUCUGGACCAUUCAGCAGCUACUUUCAGCAGCAGACUCCCAAAUUAAGGUCUAGAGCUUUAAACUGAUAAACCCGGAGAUUACAAGCCAGUCGCUACGGCUGGCUGCAUUCUGUGACGCUCCGAGAACCUGAAUAUGCAGCCCUCAGAGGGCGGAGACAAGCGAGCGGAGGCCUUUAAAUGUCACUGCCUGGGCAAGCCUCCGGAAGGCGGAGCAUGAGGCAAAAUGUAUUCCCUAUUGGCAGGGUAGAUCCAGAGACAUUUUAGGCCAGGAGAACCGAAAUGCAGAAUAACUCAAACAGACCACGGUAUAAAUAAACCUUGAGGGUGCAUUCAUAUUCA